UACGGAGGGUGCGAGCGUUGUCCGGAAUCACUGGGCGUAAAGGGCGCGUAGGCGGCGCGGAUAGUCGGCGGUGAAAGCCCGGAGCUCAACUCCGGGUCGGCCGUCGAUACUUCCGGGCUUGAGCACUGUAGAGGCAGAUGGAAUUCCGGGUGUAGCGGUGGAAUGCGUAGAGAUCCGGAAGAACACCGGUGGCGAAGGCGGCCUGCCUGGGCAGUAGCUGACGCUGAGGCGCGACAGCGUGGGGAGCAAACAGG
rnacentral:rRNA from 1 species